rnacentral:rRNA from 1 species
CAAGUCGAACGGCAGCACGGAGAGCUUGCUCUCUGGUGGCGAGUGGCGAACGGGUGAGUAAUAUAUCGGAACGUAUCCAAUAAUGGGGGAUAACGAGUCGAAAGAUUCGCUAAUACCGCAUACGCCCUACGGGGGAAAGCAGGGGAUCGUAAGACCUUGCGUUAAUGGAGCGGCCGAUAUCUGAUUAGCUUGUUGGUGAGGUAAAGGCUCACCAAGGCGACGAUCAGUAGCUGGUUUGAGAGAACGACCAGCCACACUGGAACUGAGACACGGUCCAGACUCCUACGGGAGGCAGCAGUGGGGAAUUUUGGACAAUGGGGGCAACCCUGAUCCAGCCAUUCCGCGUGAGUGAAGAAGGCCUUCGGGUUGUAAAGCUCUUUCGCAAGGGAAGAAAACUUAUGAUCGAAUAAAUCAUGAGGUUGACGGUACCUUGAUAAGAAGCACCGGCUAACUACGUGCCAGCAGCCGCGGUAAUACGUAGGGUGCGAGCGUUAAUCGGAAUUACUGGGCGUAAAGCGUGCGCAGGCGGUUUUGUAAGUCGGAUGUGAAAUCCCCGGGCUCAACCUGGGAACUGCGUUCGAAACUGCAAGGCUAGAGUGUGUCAGAGGGGGGUAGAAUUCCACGUGUAGCAGUGAAAUGCGUAGAGAUGUGGAGGAAUACCAAUGGCGAAGGCAGCCCCCUGGGAUAACACUGACGCUCAUGCACGAAAGCGUGGGGAGCAGACAGGAUUAGAUACCCUGGUAGUCCACGCCCUAAACGAUGUCAACUAGUUGUUGGUAGAGUAAAAUCUAUGAGUAACGUAGCUAACGCGUGAAGUUGACCGCCUGGGGAGUACGGUCGCAAGAUUAAAACUCAAAGGAAUUGACGG